rnacentral:rRNA from 1 species
AUUGAACGCUGGCGGCAUGCCAUACACAUGCAAGUCGCACGAGAAAGGGGGCAACCCUGAGUACAGUGGCGAACGGGUGAGUAAUGCAUCGGAACGUGUCCUGUAGUGGGGGACAACCCCGAGAAAUCGGGGCUAAUACCGCAUACGUCCUACGGGAGAAAGUGGGGGACCGCAAGGCCUCACGCCAUAGGGGCGGCCGAUGCCGGAUUAGCUGGUUGGUGGGGUAAUGGCUCACCAAGGCGACGAUCCGUAGCUGGUCUGAGAGGACGACCAGCCACACUGGGGCUGAGACACGGCCCAGACUCCUACGGGAGGGAGCAGUGGGGAAUUUUGGACAAUGGGCGAAAGCCUGAUCCAGCCAUGCCGCGUGAGUGAAGAAGGCCUUCGGGUUGUAAAGCUCUUUCGGCCGGGACGAAAUCGUACGGGCGAAUAUCCCGUGUGGAUGACGGUACCGGAAGAAGAAGGACCGGCUAACUACGUGCCAGCCGCCGCGGUAACAC